rnacentral:rRNA from 1 species
ACUCCUACGGAAGGCAGCAGCUAAGAAUCUUGCGCAAUGGGCGAAAGCCUGACGCAGCAACGCCGCGUGGAGGACGAAGGCCCUCGGGUCGUAAACUCCUUUUGCGAGGGAAGAAGAUCUGACGGUACCUCGCGAAUAAGCCACGGCUAACUACGUGCCAGCAGCCGCGGUAAU